UGCUUUGUUUCAGCUCUCACACAGAGAUGAGCAGAGGAUGGAGAGGGUCAUGGGACCUGUGCGGAUACUCCAGAGCAUAGAAGCGAUCCUUUCAUCCAGACUCGUGUCAGUGCUUGAUGUCAAACUUCUCAAUUGUUUGCCAAUCUGGUCACUGGAAGACUGAUUGUAGGAGGAAAUCUUGCUUUAUGCUCACCCAUACGUCUUAAUCACCCCGUCGAGCAAGUCGUCAGACUGGAUUUGAGUUUGCUUUUAUUCUCUAAAAACUGUUGGCAAGGGGAUUACUGAAACAAUAUUGAUACGUUUUGCUGUUAGAGAACUGUGUGUGACAUACAGCAUUCUCCAAAUUAUGAGUUUGUUUUCGGAGGUAAAAUAUUUUCAAGUAUGUAUUUUUCCUUUAAUCUCUAAUCUAACUAAAACUUUGAGAUUUCCAAUGUCCAAUAUAGUAACCACUAGUCACAUGUGGUUACUGAUCAUUUAAAAUGUGGCUGGGAUGAAUUGAGAUGGGCUGUAAGUAUAAAAUGUACACACGAGAUUUCAAAAACUUUGUACAAAAAUAUGUCUUGGAAAAAUUUUAUAUUAAUGACAUGUUGAAAUGGUGACUUUUUUUGUAAGUAAUGUACUUUUUGGAGCAGUUUUAGGUUUACAGGAAAUUUGAGAGGAAACUACAGAGUUCCCAUUAAUCCCCUCACCCCCCGACCCCGACAUAGUUUCCCCUACUAUUACCAUCUUGCCUUAGUGCAAUACAUUUCUUACAAUUGAUGAGCCAGUAUUGAUACAUUGUUAUCAACUAAAGUCCACAGUUUACAUUAGGAUUCACUCUUUGAGUCUGAUAUUCUAUCGGUUUUGGCAAAUGUGUAAUGACAUGUAUCCACUGGUCAUACAGAACAGUUAAACUAUUCUAAAAAUCCUCUGUUCUCCAUCUAUUCAUCCCUCCCUCCUCCCGAAUCCGUGAUCCUCUUGCUGUAUCCAUAGUUUUGCCUUUUGCAGAAUGUCAUAUAGUUGGAAUCGUAUAGGACACAGCCUUUCAGAUUGGCUUCAUUCACUUGGCAAUAUGCAUUUAAGGUUCCUCCAUGGUUUUCUUUUUUGUGGCCUGAUAGCUCAUUUCUUUUUAUCACUAAAUAAUAUUCCACUGUAUGGAUGUACCACAGUUUGUAUAUCCAUACCUAUUGAAGAGUAUCUUAGUUGCUUCCAAGUUUAGCAGUUAGGAACAAAGAUGCUGUAAACAUUCAUACGCAGGUUUUUGUGUAGACAUACGUCUUCAACUCAUUUUGGUAAAUACUGAAGAGCACAGUUACUGGAUUGUAUGGUAUGAAAAUGUUUAUUUUGUAAGAAACUGCCCAACUGCCUUCCAAAGUGGCUGUACUAUUUUGCAUUCCCACCAGCAAUGAAUGAGAGUUUUGCAUCCUCACCAGCACUGGUGUUGUCAAUGUUUGGGAUUUUAGACAUUUUAAUAAGUAUG